rnacentral:rRNA from 1 species
AUUGAACGCUGGCGGCAGGCCUAAUACAUGCAAGUCGAGCGGAUGAAGGGAGCUUUUUCCUGGAUUCAGCGGCGGACGGGUGAGUAAUGCCCAGGAAUCUGCCUGGUAGUGGGGGAUAACGUCCGGUAACGGGCGCUAAUACCGCAUACGUCCUUAGGGUGAAACUGGGGGAUCAUCGGACCUCACGCUAUUAGCUGAGCCUCGGUCGGAUUAGCUAGUUGGUGGGGUAAAGGCCUACCAAGGCGACGAUCCGUAACUGGUCUGGGAGGAUGAUCAGUCACACCGGAACUGAGAAACGGUCCAAACUCCUACGGGAGGCAACAGUGGGGAAUAUUGGACAAUGGGCGAAAGCCUGGUCGAGCCAUGCCGGGUGGGUGAAGAAGGUCUUCGGAUUGUAAAACCCUUUAAAUUGGGAGAAAGGGCAGUAAGUUAAAACCUUGCUGUUUUGACGUUACCAAAAGAAUAAGCACCGGCUAACUUCGUG